rnacentral:lncRNA from 1 species
AUGCUGCAAUCAAGAAUAAAGGUUGUGUCACACCUUUUCCUGAACUUUGGCUCAACUGAAGAAGGAAACUUUCAGGGGAAUUCCAAUAGUAAACAACGGAACCAGCAGUUUUACAAUAAACUGCAGAGCUCCAUUUCAAAACACAAAAAUAGAGCGUCUCUGCAGUGAUGUACUGCCUUAAGGAAGGGUAAGAUUUUUUUCACGGAUGUUACCAAACUUUAAUGAAGUACAUGUUGUCCUCUCCGUGUGUGGAUUUUUGCAUGAUUUCUAUUUUCCAAUGAAGUUCAAGUAAAAUAAUUAGAACAUCACUUAUAUAUAAAAUGCUG